CAAUCUCAUCCCUUAACAGACGGCAGCGUUAGUCAGGGAAAACCCAGGGAGAGCAAAGCAUGCGUGCGGACGUGUGUGUGUGUGUGUGUGUGUGGGAGGUUGGUAUAGGAAGGUUAAGCUAUACAAAUCUAUUCGUUCCUAUUCACAAAUGCCCUCAAACACCCAUUCACCAGUGUUGUUAUGAUUCUAUUCUUGCCUAUACUAAUGUUCACUGUUUGCUAUAUACCCACACAUCAUCAUCAUCAUCAUCAUCAUUUAACGUCCAUUUAUUCCCUAUGGUGGUGGGGUUGGACGGGAUAUGAGCCUCCUCCACUGUUGCCGGUCCAUAGCCAUUUCUUCCGUGAUGUUCAGCCUCCUCUUAUCUUCCUCCACCACCUUUCUCCAUGUCUUCCUUGGCCUUCCUGCUGGUCUUCUGCCCUCUACCUCAAAGUUCAGUGCAUGUCUCAGGGUGUGUUCUUCUCCUCUUCUCUAUAUACAAACGUUCAUGAUUUUGUGUUUUACCAUGUGGCCGAGACUUUACAUGGGAAAAUCAGGUGGGUGUGAAUGUAGAAACCACUAACUAUCGGUGUAAGACAGAACAGAUAUUUGAAAACUGUCGAUUACAUGAACCACAAGAAUUUAAAAAAGUGUUAGAAUGAGAUGGGAAGAAAGGAGGGCUGUGUAAAUGGAUCAAUAUCUAUCUAAUGUUCACUAACGUUCACAGUUCACUAUAUACAAACAUUCAUGAUUUUGUGAUUUACCAUGUGGCCGAAACUUGACAUGGGAAAAUCAGGUGGGAGUGAAUGUAGAAACCACUAACUAUCGGUGUAAGACAGAACAGAUAUUUGAAAACUGUCGAUUACAUGAACCACAAGAAUUUAAAGAAGUGUUAGGAUGAGAUGGGAAGAAAGGAAGGCUGUGUAAAUGGCUCAAUAUCUAUCUAAUGUUCACUAAUGUUCACAGUUCACUAUAUACAAACAUUCAAGACUUUGUGAUUUACUAUGUGGCCGAGACUUGACAUGGGAAAAUCAGGUGGGUGUGAAUGUAGAAACCACUAACUAUCGGUGUAAGACAGAACAGAUAUUUGAAAACUGUCGAUUACAUGAACAAAGUGAAUUUAAAUGUGUUAGAAUGAGAUGGGAAGAAAUGAAGGCUGUGUAAAUGGCUCAAUAUGUAUCUAAUGUUCACUAACGUUCACAGUUCACUAUAUACAAACAUUCAUGAUUUUGUGAUGUACUAUGUGGCCGACUUUACAUGGGAAAAUCAGGUGGGUGUGAAUCUAAAAACCACUAAAUAUUGGUGUAAGACAGAACAGAUAUUUGAAAACUGUCGAUUACAUGAAGCAAGAGAAUUUAAAUGUGUUAGAAUGAGAUGGGAAGAAAGGAAGGCUGUGUAAAUGGCUCAAUAUCUAUCAAAAAUAUCUAAAAAAUAUCUAAAAAAAGUAUCUAUCAAAAAAAUAUCUAUCAAAGAAUAUCUAUCAAAGAGAAUGUAAAGAAGUGUUAGAAUGAGAUGGGAAGAAAGGAAGGCUGUGUAAAUGGCUCAAUAUCUAUCAAAAAUAUCUAAAAAAAGUAUCUAUCAAAAAAAUAUCUAUCAAAGAGAAUUUAAAGAAGUGUUAGAAUGAGAUGGGAAGAAAGGAAGGCUGUGUAAAUGGCUCAAUAUCUAUCAAAAAUAUCUCAAAAAUAUCUAAAAAAAGUAGAAAAGAAAUAUUUAUAGUAUGUUCGAGUUAAGUGUGUGUAUUUACCUAGUUGUAUUUACCUAGUUCUAGUUUUACAGGGCCUGGGCUUAUGCUCGUGCGGUCCCGUCUCCAUAUCUGUAUUUGUCCAACUUUUCCUUAAAGCUUUGCGCACUCCUCGUCGAUACUACAUCCUCACUUAGUCUGUUCCAAACCUCUAUAUUUCUUUGUGGGAGGCUAUAUUUCUUUGUCUCUCAAGCAUCUUCCUUUCCUCAAUUUUUUAUGUGUGUAUGAGUGUGUUUUGCAGUGCCUUGAAAUAAGUAUAUCGACCAGUCACUAUAUAAAAAGCAGUGGGGGGAGAGGAGGAGCAUGGAGGGGAGUGGGGAGGCGAGAAAUUGAGGAUAUACAAAAACCCAAAGGGGAAGGGGGAGGGGAGGUUUCAUUAGCUUGCAGAAGGGAAGGGAGUGGGGAGGGAAGGGAAGGUUACAUUAGAUUGAGUUGCACAAGGGGAGGGGACAGGGAAGGAAUGGUUAGGAGCGGAGGGAAGGGAAGGUUACAUUAGACUGAGUUGCACAAGGGGAGGGGACAGGGAAGGAAUGGUUAGGAGCGGAGGGAAGGGAAGGUUACAUUAGACUGAGUUGCACAAGGGGAGGGGACAGGGAAGGAAUGGUUAGGAGCGGAGGGAAGGGAAGGUUACAUUAGACUGAGUUGCACAAGAGGAGGGGAAGGAAUGGUUAGGAGCAGAGGGAAGGGAAGGUUACAUUAGACUGAGUUGCACAAGGGGAGGGGACAGGGAAGGAAUGGUUAGGAGCGGAGGGAAGGGAAGGUUACAUUAGACUGAGUUGCACAAGGGGAGGGGACAGGGAAGGAUUGGUUAGGAGCGGAGGGAAGGGAAGGUUACAUUAGACUGAGUUGCACAAGGGGAGGGGACAGGGAAGGAUUGGUUAGGAGCGGAGGGAAGGGAAGGUUACAUUAGACUGAGUUGCACAAGGGGAGGGGACAGGGAAGGAUUGGUUAGGAGCAGAGGGAAGGGAAGGUUACAUUAGACUGAGUUGCACAAGGGGAGGGGACAGGGAAGGAAUGGUUAGGAGCAGAGGGAAGGGAAGGUUACAUUAGACUGAGUUGCACAAGGGGAGGGGACAGGGAAGGAAUGGUUAGGAGCAGAGGGAAGGGAAGGUUACAUUAGACUGAGUUGCACAAGGGGAGGGGACAGGGAAGGAAUGGUUAGGAGCGGAGGGAAGGGAAGGUUACAUUAGACUGAGUUGCACAAGAGGAGGGGAAGGAAUGGUUAGGAGCGGAGGGAAGGGAAGGUUACAUUAGACUGAGUUGCACAAGGGGAGGGGAAGGAUUGGUUAGGAGCAGAGGGAAGGGAGGAUGAAAACAACAGAGCAAAUCAAAGAAAACUCUACACUCCAUCCCUGGGUUACUAAAAUCAAACUCUUCCUUCCAGCUCAUGCAGACACACACCAACACCAACACUCUGAACCCUUAACCCUUUCAGUAUGGUGACGCCGAUGUUGGCGUAACCAUAUGGAAAGGGUUAAUCCUCUUCCAUUUCCUCUUAAUCCUCUUCUAAACCACUUAAUAGGAAAUGGGAGAGGAUUAAGAGGUUUAGAAGAGGAUUAAUCCUCUUACAAUUCCUCUUAAACCUUUCCAUAUGGUGACGCUGGCAUCUGCGUCACCAUAUUGAAAGGGUUGACAACUAAAUGAUCAGUAAAUUAAAACUGAAAUUCAUGCUGCUUAUCAGUUAAACUAUUUUUAAUUAUGGGAAGCUUUCCAAGAAGCAUUAUAGUUUUGGUUAAGGUGAGGGGCCAGAAAACCUACAAUACCCGCUGAUGAAUGGUGAAAAUGAUCCCACAUGAAUAUUUACAAGAUUAGUAAUGGAGGAAGCUGUGACGUAUCUUAAUUACCAAUACCCAGAAGGAAAUCACGAUGCAGAGAAAUAAAAAAAACAUGGAAAUAAAGUGAAGAAUACCUAAGAUUGAUUUAUGGUCGACCUAUGAUAUAAAUAUGAAUGAAGACAAAAUUAAACUAUAAAAUCAAAAUUGUUUACACUCCCUAUGGCAAAAGAAAACUGUACCCAAAUCCCACCAAUGAAUAUAGAAAACAAGCUCAAUGUUAAAAAAUAAGACACAAAGAGAUUCCGUAAAUAUAUGAAUGAUAACUGAAAAUGACCCCCACGGAUUAUGCACAAAAAAUAAAGCAAAAUAUAAACUCUCCUUAUCUAGCUCCAUUACCUCUCUAUAACACGUAAACAGAUAAGCAAAACAAAGGCGAGUGCUUACGUUAGGACACAAACAGCUUUCGUAAAUAUAUGAAUAACUGAAAAUCCCUCACUCGGAUUAUGCACAAAAAAUAAAGAAGCAAAAUAAAAACUCUCCUUAUCAAGCUCCAUUACCUCUCAAUAACACGUAAACAGAUAAGCAAAACAAAGGCGAGUGCUUACGUUAGGACACAAACAGCUUUCGUAAAUAUAUGAAUAACUGAAAAUCCCUCACUCGGAUUAUGCACAAACAAAUAAGGAAGCAAAAUAUAAACUUUCCUUAUCUAGCUUCAUUACCUCUCUAUAACACGUAAACAGAUAAGCAAAACAAAGGCGAGUGCUUACGUUAGGACACAAAGAGAUUACGUAAAUAUAUGAAUAACUGAAAAUCCCUCACUCGGAUUAUGCACAAACAAAUAAAGAAGCAAAAUAAAAACUCUCCUUAUCAAGCUUCAUUACCUCUCAAUAACACGUAAACAGAUAAGCAAAACAAAGGUGAGUGCUUACGUUAGGACACAAAGAGAUUCCGUAAAUAUAUGAAUGAUAACUGAAAAUGACCCCCACGGAUUAUGCACAAAAAAUAAAGCAAAAUAUAAACUCUCCUUAUCAAGCUUCAUUACCUCUCUAUAACAC